rnacentral:rRNA from 1 species
GACGUAGGGCGCGAGCGUUGUCCGGAUUUAUUGGGCGUAAAGAGCUCGUAGGCGGCUUGUUGCGUCGGCUGUGAAAACCCGUGGCUUAACUGCGGGCUUGCGGUCGAUACGGGCGGGCUGGAGUUCGGUAGGGGAGACUGGAAUUCCUGGUGUAGCGGUGAAAUGCGCAGAUAUCAGGAGGAACACCGGUGGCGAAGGCAGGUCACUGGGCCGCAACUGACGCUGAGGAGCGAAAGCGUGGGGAGCAAACAGG